rnacentral:rRNA from 1 species
UACGGAGGGUGCAAGCAUUGAUCGGAAUUACUGGGCGUAAAGGGCGCGUAGGCGGUCCUGAAAGUCAGAUGUGAAAUUCCGGGGCUCAACCCCGGAGCUGCAUUUGAAACUUCAGGACUAGAGGACAGUUAGGGUAAACGGAAUUCCACGUGUAGCGGUGAAAUGCGUAGAUAUGUGGAAGAACACCAGUGGUGAAGACGGUUUACUGGGCUGUAACUGACGCUGAGGCGCGAAAGCUAGGGGAGCAAACAGG